AUUGAACGCUGGCGGCAUGCUUUACACAUGCAAGUCGAACGGUAACAGGCCGCAAGGUGCUGACGAGUGGCGAACGGGUGAGUAAUGCAUCGGAACGUGCCCAGUCGUGGGGGAUAACGCAGCGAAAGCUGUGCUAAUACCGCAUACGAUCUGUGGAUGAAAGCGGGGGACCGUAAGGCCUCGCGCGAUUGGAGCGGCCGAUGUCAGAUUAGGUAGUUGGUGGGGUAAAGGCUCACCAAGCCGACGAUCUGUAGCUGGUCUGAGAGGACGACCAGCCACACUGGGACUGAGACACGGCCCAGACUCCUACGGGAGGCAGCAGUGGGGAAUUUUGGACAAUGGGCGCAAGCCUGAUCCAGCAAUGCCGCGUGCAGGAAGAAGGCCUUCGGGUUGUAAACUGCUUUUGUACGGAGCGAAAAGGCUCUCUCUAAUACAGGGGGCUCAUGACGGUACCGUAAGAAUAAGCACCGGCUAACUACGUGCCAGCCGCCGCCGUAAAAC
rnacentral:rRNA from 1 species